rnacentral:rRNA from 1 species
GUCUACAGCCAUGCUACUCUGAACAAGCCCGAUCCCGUCUGAUCUCGGAAGCUAAGCAGGGUUGGGCCUGGUUAGUACUUGGAUGGGAGACCACUGAGAAAGAUCAGGUGCAUUAGGUG